UUAAAUUGAAGAGUUUGAUCAUGGCUCAGAUUGAACGCUGGCGGCAGGCCUAACACAUGCAAGUCGAACGGUAACAGGAAGCAGCUUGCUGCUUUGCUGACGAGUGGCGGACGGGUGAGUAAUGUCUGGGAAACUGCCUGAUGGAGGGGGAUAACUACUGGAAACGGUGGCUAAUACCGCAUAACGUCGCAAGACCAAAGAGGGGGACCUUCGGGCCUCUUGCCAUCAGAUGUGCCCAGAUGGGAUUAGCUUGUUGGUGAGGUAACGGCUCACCAAGGCGACGAUCCCUAGCUGGUCUGAGAGGAUGACCAGCCACACUGGAACUGAGACACGGUCCAGACUCCUACGGGAGGCAGCAGUGGGGAAUAUUGCACAAUGGGCGCAAGCCUGAUGCAGCCAUGCCGCGUGUAUGAAGAAGGCCUUCGGGUUGUAAAGUACUUUCAGCGGGGAGGAAGGUGUUGUGGUUAAUAACCGCAGCAAUUGACGUUACCCGCAGAAGAAGCACCGGCUAACUCCGUGCCAGCAGCCGCGGUAAUACGGAGGGUGCAAGCGUUAAUCGGAAUUACUGGGCGUAAAGCGCACGCAGGCGGUCUGUCAAGUCGGAUGUGAAAUCCCCGGGCUCAACCUGGGAACUGCAUUCGAAACUGGCAGGCUUGAGUCUUGUAGAGGGGGGUAGAAUUCCAGGUGUAGCGGUGAAAUGCGUAGAGAUCUGGAGGAAUACCGGUGGCGAAGGCGGCCCCCUGGACAAAGACUGACGCUCAGGUGCGAAAGCGUGGGGAGCAAACAGGAUUAGAUACCCUGGUAGUCCACGCCGUAAACGAUGUCUACUUGGAGGUUGUGCCCUUGAGGCGUGGCUUCCGGAGCUAACGCGUUAAGUAGACCGCCUGGGGAGUACGGCCGCAAGGUUAAAACUCAAAUGAAUUGACGGGGGCCCGCACAAGCGGUGGAGCAUGUGGUUUAAUUCGAUGCAACGCGAAGAACCUUACCUGGUCUUGACAUCCACAGAACUUUCCAGAGAUGGACUGGUGCCUUCGGGAACUGUGAGACAGGUGCUGCAUGGCUGUCGUCAGCUCGUGUUGUGAAAUGUUGGGUUAAGUCCCGCAACGAGCGCAACCCUUAUCCUUUGUUGCCAGCGAUUAGGUCGGGAACUCAAAGGAGACUGCCAGUGAUAAACUGGAGGAAGGUGGGGAUGACGUCAAGUCAUCAUGGCCCUUACGACCAGGGCUACACACGUGCUACAAUGGCGCAUACAAAGAGAAGCGACCUCGCGAGAGCAAGCGGACCUCAUAAAGUGCGUCGUAGUCCGGAUUGGAGUCUGCAACUCGACUCCAUGAAGUCGGAAUCGCUAGUAAUCGUGGAUCAGAAUGCCACGGUGAAUACGUUCCCGGGCCUUGUACACACCGCCCGUCACACCAUGGGAGUGGGUUGCAAAAGAAGUAGGUAGCUUAACCUUCGGGAGGGCGCUUACCACUUUGUGAUUCAUGACUGGGGUGAAGUCGUAACAAGGUAACCGUAGGGGAACCUGCGGUUGGAUCACCUCCUUACCUUAAAGAAGC
rnacentral:rRNA from 2 species